ACGCGUGUGUGAAGAAGGCCUUAGGUUGUAAAGCACUUUCAAUUGGAAGGAAAACCUCAGGGUUACUACCCNCUGAGCUUGACAUUACCUUUAGAAGAAGCGCCGGCUAACUCCGUGCCAGCAGCCGCGGUAAUACGGAGGGUGCAAGCGUUAAUCGGAAUUACUGGGCGUAAAGCGUGCGUAGGCGGCUUUGUAAGCCAGAUGUGAAAGCCCUGGGCUUAACCUGGGAACUGCAUUUGAAACUGGCAAGCUAGAGUAUAGGAGAGGAGAGUGGAAUUUCAGGUGUAGCGGUGAAAUGCGUAGAGAUCUGAAGGAACACCAGUGGCGAAGGCGACUCUCUGGCCUAAAACUGACGCUGAGGUACGAAAGCGUGGGUAGCAAACAGGAUUAGAUACCCUGGUAGUCCACGCCGUAAACGAUGUCAACUAGCCGUUGGCUCUCUUAGAGAGUUAGUGGCGCAGCUAACGCAUUAAGUUGACCGCCUGGGGAGUACGGCCGCAAGGUUAAAACUCAAAUGAGUUGACGGGGGCCCGCACAAGCGGUGGAGCAUGUGGUUUAAUUCGAUGCAACGCGAAGAACCUUACCUACCCUUGACAUCCAGAGAAUCUGUUAGAGAUAGUAGAGUGCUUC
rnacentral:rRNA from 1 species